rnacentral:rRNA from 1 species
GGAUCUUAAGGCCAUGGCGAGUCGAAUGUAGCAAUACAUGGCGUACUGCUCAGUAACACGUGGACAACCUACCCUCAGGACAGGUAUAAACCCGGGAAACUGGGUAUAAUCCCUGAUAGUCCUCGGCUGCUGGAAUGCAUCGAGGACGAAAGCUCCGGCGCCUGAGGAUGGGUCUGCGGCCUAUCAGGUAGUAGUGGGUGUAACGUACCUACUAGCCUACGACGGGUACGGGUUGUGAGAGCAAGAGCCCGGAGAUGGAUUCUGAGACACGAAUCCAGGCCCUACGGGGUGCAGCAGGCGCGAAAACUUUACAAUGCCGGCAACGGCGAUAAGGGGACCUCGAGUGCCAGGUUACAAAUCUGGCUGUCGUGAUGCCUAAAAAGCAUUGCAUAGCAAGGGCCGGGCAAGACCGGUGCCAGCCGCCGCGGUAACACCGGCGGCUCGAGUGGUAACCGUUAUUAUUGGGUCUAAAGGGUCUGUAGCCGGCCGGAUAAGUCUCUUGAGAAAUCCAGCAGCUCAACUGUUGGGCUUUCAGGAGAUACUGUCUGGCUCGAGGCCGGGAGAGGUGAGAGGUACUUCAGGGGUAGGGGUGAAAUCUUGUAAUCCUUGAAGGACCACCAGUGGCGAAGGCGUCUCACCAGAACGGACCUGACGGCAAGGGACGAAAGCUAGGGGCACGAACCGGAUUAGAUACCCGGGUAGUCCUAGCCGUAAACGAUACUCGCUAGGUGUCGGCCACGGUGCGACCGUUGUCGGUGCCGUAGGGAAGCCGUGAAGCGAGCCACCUGGGAAGUACGGCCGCAAGGCUGAAACUUAAAGGAAUUGGCGGGGGAGCACCACAACGGGUGGAGCUUGCGGUUUAAUUGGAUUCAACGCCGGAAAUCUUACCGGGACCGACAGCAAUAUGAAGGCCAGGCUGAAGACUUUGCCGGAUUAGCUGAGAGGUGGUGCAUGGCCGUCGUCAGUCGUACUGAAGAA